rnacentral:lncRNA from 1 species
AGUUGCCAAAAAUUUGGCUCAAUCCGGAUUCUCUAACGUCUAGAAAAAGGGAAACGAGAUAUUGCCAUAAAUAGUAAAAAAAAUACUAAAAAUUGAAUUUCGAAAAGAAAAAUAGCAAAUUUUGGGACCAAAAUUGAUGCCCACCGAGCAUAGCUGGGUGGAAAUGACGUGCGCGCUGAAGAGAUCUUUUCGGAUUGGGGUCAUAAUAGCGAUUCUGAUAACCGUAAUCAAAGUUAUGGUCAAAUUAUCAAAAACGUGUCAAAAUUACCCCAAUUAAGGAAAUAUUGCAUUUAUUUUCCAUCUUUACGUUUAUCCUCCAUCUCAUGGUAUUUCA